CAAUUUACCGGUCAACUAAUCGGUAUCCGUUAGUUAAAAAUACAGUUAUGUGCAGAUGAUGGACUAUUUUGCAGCCCCACCCACGCAAACCAGAACUUUGAAUUUCUUUUUCUGUUGUCGAAGUACCGAUAUUCUCUCCUUGAACUGUUAACGGCUGGUGGCCAAGUCAAAGCUGUGUGAGUGGGACAAGGGAAGUUUCUUUCCACGGCUCGCAGUAGAUUUGGUAACAAGCUGCAGUUCUAAUGAGAGAAGGGCUGUGAUGACAGUUUUCUCUGCGCAAGUGGGUCUGUGGUAGGAGCUGUGGUCACCUGGAAGAGAACUCUCUGGAAGAGACCGUAGGGCCUCAGAGGUGGGGAGACCUCAGCAGAGCGGCAAGAGCUGCAAACGUUGGAGAAGAGGCAUUUCUCGGGGAACUCCUGAAAGUGCUCACAAGAAAAACCAUCCCCGAGAAUGUGGCAGUGUGCAAGCCGACAUCGCUCUCCGCAUUUCCCAGGCGGGCGUCUGUCAGCAUUCAACUGUGACUUCUGAACUGCGAAGCUUUUUGGGUGGGCCUGCUGAGCUGCCCUUCUCUGAGCUUGAGGUUGGAGAGUUCUUACAUGUUGAUUCAUACUUCAGUAUGCUGAUUUCUUCAAACAUUUUAAAAUUAAGCAGAUACAUACCUUCCUGUCAAGGGGACUUUGAAAUAUGUGAUGCUGUUGCCAGAGCUCCACUACAGCGUAGGGAACGUCAGAGCCAAGAGUGCAUUCGGUUUGGAGAGCCAGGGAGUCCCGGCGCCGAGAAGCCGUGCACAGUGUGACCCAGAACCUGUGGGAGGGAAGCAAAGCCAGUAGAAUAUCCUUGAGAUGUCCUUGAGCCCGUCUGGAGAAUCCAGGAUCAUCUGUCUCUUCAUAUCAAGAUCCUUAAUCAUACCUGCAAAGUCCCUUUUGUCAUGUCUUUGCCUUUGAUGUGGUAUCCAGGAUGGGAGCUGGCUCUCCUGCUGUCCUGAGCACUGCCCUCUCUUCCCUCUGCCAGCUCCUGGAGGUGCCUGAAGGUGACUCGCCCUUCCUACCCACAGAGCCAGAAAUUUUCAUCGUACAGCCUUACGGGUUGAAGUGACACAGCUCCCUGCUGCCUUCCACAAAUAUCUACUAACUGGAGGGUGUGAGGGGUCAGUAAUUCUUGGUUAUCAGUUAGUGUCAACAGUUAAUAGGAUAGGGAAGAAUGGUUUUCUCAUUAUGCCGUAUAGUGCUUUAUAAAUGCACAUCUGCUCCCAUACCCCAGGCUCUGCUGCAAUCCCCAGAGUUCUUCUGAAAGACCUUUCUUACCCAAAUGAAUAUUGUAAUAAUAAUUAUUGUGGUAAAAGUAAAAAUCCCAGCUAAUAUGAUGGAAACAUUCCCUCAGUCUGCAAUGAAGGAAAGUAACCGUAUAUCACAGUGACAAGUGUCUCUUGCAUUCGUUGUAAAUCAGGUGUCUUUUCAAUCCUGUAUGGAAAGGGAUACUGUACCACUCAUCUUGUUUUGCAUAUGUAAUGGUGCCCCUGGCUCGAAUGACUGUGUCAGUGUUUCAGGUUGUUAAUAGAGCUGUUUGCUUCCCUGAGGAUGUCUUUUGGAUUUAUGGCUAUUCUACUAUUAGCUUGCAUGAUUAGCAAAUAAAAGAGAGCUCCUAAAUCACUAAGCAGAGGUGCUGCUUAAACCUGGGAAAUCCAAUGCAAACUUAAUGCCUCUGAUGAUGGAUUAAUGGCUCUAGGAAACAAUUGUCAUCCAAACUCCUGUUUUGAUCUCCAUUUAAUUAUUGAAGAGUUGUGCUAGUUUAAAUUGACUAA